rnacentral:ncRNA from 1 species
AUAUUCCGACAGGGGAGCGCCACAGCGCUGAGAGUGCGACACCGUCAGGUCGCAGACCCUCUGAACCUUGCCCAGGUCAUUCUGGGUAGGAAGUUCGGUCAUCACUCAAG